rnacentral:rRNA from 1 species
UACAGAGGUGGCAAGCGUUGUUCGGAAUUACUGGGCGUAAAGGGCGCGUAGGCGGCCUACUAAGUCAGACGUGAAAUCCCCCGGCUUAACCUGGGAACUGCGUCUGAUACUGGAAGGCUUGAGGAUAGGAGAGGGAUGUAGAAUUCCAGGUGUAGCGGUGAAAUGCGUAGAUAUCUGGAGGAACACCGGUGGCGAAGGCGGGUCUCUGGGCCGAUACUGACGCUGAGGAGCGAAAGCGUGGGGAGCGAACAGG